rnacentral:rRNA from 1 species
CUCGUAGGUGGCCAACUAAGUCGGACGUGAAAUCCCUCGGCUUAACCGGGGAACUGCGUCCGAUACUGGUUGGCUUGAGUUUGGGAGAGGGAUGCGGAAUUCCAGGUGUAGCGGUGAAAUGCGUAGAUAUCUGGAGGAACACCGGUGGCGAAGGCGGCAUCCUGGACCAAUACUGACGCUGAGGAGCGAAAGCCAGGGGAGCAAACGG